rnacentral:rRNA from 1 species
UACGUGGGGAGCAAGCGUUGUUCGGAUUUACUGGGCGUAAAGGGCGCGUAGGCGGUCAGCACAAGUCAGUUGUGAAAUCUCCGGGCUUAACUCGGAAAGGUCAACUGAUACUGUGCGACUAGAGUGCGGAAGGGGCAACUGGAAUUCUCGGUGUAGCGGUGAAAUGCGUAGAUAUCGAGAGGAACACCUGCGGCGAAGGCGGGUUGCUGGGCCGACACUGACGCUGAUGCGCGAAAGCCAGGGGAGCGAACGGG